rnacentral:lncRNA from 10 species
GUGUUUGUGUACAUGAAGGGGGGCCUUUGACACUCUUCACCCCGCCCCUCCCUUGCUUAGUCGCUCGGCUGGCCCGGCUCACCUUCGGGGUGAAGGCUACCAGCGAGCGUUAUAGCAGACGACUUUAAUAAAUGCAGGCGGCAGCAGGAACUCUGGGAACUUGGGUGCCCUUGCCUGGCAGUAAGGGUUGAAUUAUCCGGAUCUGAAAUACUUUACAGAGCCGAGGGGUGAUAGGCUCUGCAAAAGCACUUUUUGCCCCUCUCCUUUAUGCCAAUACUCGCUGACUGUGCACACAAGUCAUAUUCAGUAUUAAAUACAAACCGGUCUGUAAUUCAAUGGCUCUAGCAAGACGCCUCUGAGAGGGCCAGGUGGCGGGUGCAAGUUGCUCAUUAACCCUUUAGAGUCGCAGUUUGCAGAUCUGAGUUAGAUCCCCGGCUUUGAGGUCCUUCAGUUGCCCUCCUCCCCCACCUCCCCCCGCCACUGCGAGAAAAAUGUGCAAAGAGAAGGAAAUUUGCACAUCAAACGAGGGGCAAUCGCGGCGGUAGAUGAACUUGAUUAGGCAGACGCGUGAGAUCAAAGUGGCCGGGACCAAAGCGGACAGGGUCCAACGUGCCAGCACUGCCAAGAGAAGGCCUUUUGUACUCAGGUUAAAUAAGAACAUCCUGCAAGGAGUCUGUUCUUUUAUGCAGCCUAAAGAUCAAGUAAUAAUCAUUGACACUGAUACUGAGCAUGUCGAUUUUGAAGAGACUAGCAUGAACCUUGAAGAAUCAUGUUCUUCCUAGGAAUUACAAAUCCCCCGAUUCCAUGUCUAACAUAAUUUCUACUGGCCUCUUUGCUUCUCAUGCUUUAGUACCAGUGCUUCUGAAUUUGAAAGUCUUCAUGCAAAUUGCCCAGGUUUGCUGGCAGCUGUGUCUCAGAAAAAGCUGUCUUCAGCAAGGCAGAAGCAGAGGAUCUUCUAGAAGAUUUGCACUAUCAGCUUGGUAUUCAGUUCUCUAGCUUGAAAUGAUUUCAGUGCCUACCAGGGUGGUCCAGAGUUGGUGACUAUUAUGGCAUGGCUACCCAGGGCCAGAGAGGUGAGGUUUAAUGAGAAAGAAGAUAGAUGAAAAUGACUCCUCCUCCUGCUUUCACUGCUGCAGCAACUCAGGCCUGCAGACAAGAUCCAGCUCUAUUGCCCAAGCUGGAGUGCAGUGGUGAGAUAAUGAUUCACUGCAGCCUUGAUCUCCUGGGCUCAAGCAGUUCUCCUGCCUCAGCCUCCUGAGUAGCUGGGACCACAGGCACCCUCCACCAUGUCUGGCCAAAAUUUUUUGAAUUUUUUGUAGAGACCAGGUUUCACCAUGUUGCCCAGGCUGAUUUCAAAUUCCUGGGCUCAAGUGAUCUUCCUGCCUCAGCCUCUCAAAGUGCUGAGAUUACAAGUGUGAGCCACCACACCCAGCCAAAAUAUAAAUACGCCUUUAAUAGUAACACCUAAUUACCUAACACCAUCAAAAAUGGGGUGCUCCAUGAAGAAGCACAUAAUUCAAAUUAUUGAAGUUUAUCCCUUCUAAUGACCACAUAGAUUUCUCUUGCCCCAUUAAAAAAUUAGAUAAUCAGUAUUUCUAGGAUAGUUGUUUUCUUCCAACCAAUUAAGGCAUAAUCUAUGUAGCAGAACAUUCAGAGGAUGAUGCCUGGUCAACAUUUGAAUAAACAAUCACUGUGAUGUUACCUCUAUUUAAGAUGACUCCAAUAAAACUUCUAUGGUUUGCAUUAUUAGUUGAUCAGACUUUAAGCAUUAUCUUUUGAUAGGGUCAAGGAACCUGUCUUAACUCCCCAUCUCUGACCAAAAUAUACUUGUUUUCUAUAAGCUAUAAAGCCAGAUAGCCAAUUUUAUGAGAAUUGUCCCUAUACUAUAUCCAUGUGAGCGAUGAGUGCCUGGCAUGAAGAUGCAUAAAGGAGGCAGUAAUAUACAACAACUGAAGCAUAACCUCUGGAGCCAGUCUUCUUCAGACAAAUCCCAAUUCCAUUACUCACUGGCCACCUAAACAAGCUACUUAAUUCAUCUGCCUCAGUUUUCUUCAACUGUUUAAUGGGUAUGAUCAACAAACCAACUUCAGUGGGUUAUCAUAAAUAUUAAUAAAUGAGAGAAUGCAUGUGAAACAAAGCUAUAAGCAAUCAUUAGUAAUAAUAAUAAAAGAUGAUCAUUAUUUUUCAUGGAGUUUUUGCUAGUGCCAUGUACUGUUUUGUUAAUACUAAUUGCCUGAUUUUCUGUCCAUGAAUUUUUGGCUGAUCUAAGUUUCCACUUCCCUCACCCCUUGGCUGGGAUCUAGGUAUGAGAGUUGCUUGGCAAGCAAACUAGAGAUAAGUAAGGUGUUACUAUAUAAAGUUAAUGUAGGCACAUAUGAAUAUCCAAACAUGCCAUAAUGUUGGGGUUUGACCCUUUCCCUAAUACUCAGUUUCUUCAUUUGAAAUGUUCUAAUUGGUGUUUUUAUGUUGG